rnacentral:rRNA from 1 species
CUACGGGGGGCACCAGUGAGGAAUAUUGCACAAUGGGGGGAACCCUGAUGCAGCAACGCCGCGUGGAGGAUGACGCAUUUCGGUGUGUAAACUCCUUUUAUCAGAGAAGAACAUGACGGUAUCUGAUGAAUAAGCUCCGGCUAACUCCGUGCCAGCAGCCGCGGUAAUACGGAGGGAGCAAGCGUUAUUCGGAAUCACUGGGCGUAAAGGACGCGUAGGCGGGACAGUAAGUCAGGUGUGAAAUCCAAUGGCUCAACCAUUGAACUGCACUUGAAACUGCUGACCUAGAGUACUGAAGGGGCAGAUGGAAUUAGUGGUGUAGGGGUAAAAUCCGUAGAUAUCACUAGGAAUACCGAAAGCGAAGGCGAUCUGCUGGGAAGUUACUGACGCUGAGGCGUGAAAGCGUGGGGAGCAAACAGGAUUAGAUACCCUUGUAGUC